AGCAGUCGCCGCGGGAAUACGAAGGGUGCAAGCGUUACUCGGAAUUACUGGGCGUAAAGCGUGCGUAGGUGGUGGUUUAAGUCCGUUGUGAAAGCCCUGGGCUCAACCUGGGAAUUGCAGUGGAUACUGGGUCACUAGAGUGUGGUAGAGGAUAGUGGAAUUUCCGGUGUAGCAGUGAAAUGCGUAGAGAUCGGAAGGAACAUCUGUGGCGAAGGCGACUAUCUGGGCCAACACUGACACUGAGGCACGAAAGCGUGGGGAGCAAACAGGAUUAGAUACCCGGGUAGUCCCUGUCUCUUAUAA
rnacentral:rRNA from 1 species